UUCUGAAAGUGCUUAGCCUAAGAGGCCCCACAUAAUCUUCACAGUUCAGCGGUCUCUGAAUUGUCACCAUGUAACCUUCUUGCCUGUUAUCUGUUUACUCUGGGGAUGACUCAUGACUAGUCACUAGCCCAGUAACUUUGUAACCUUUCCCCCGGAGAAUGUGUCUGGAUGUCACAGAUCUGUGCCACCUUCAGCUUUCUCUUUUCAGGGCUCAACUUGCUUCCAACAAUAUCACUAGUUUUUAUGAGUGUUAUGUGAAGCCGCAAUAGACAACAUCUCCUCAUCUGCCCUAGCAGGCAGGAUGGGGUUCUGUCUUCUGCGUGGAGCAUGAUGGGUGAGAGGAAGCAGAGGCUGGAGAGAUGGAGGACCCACAGUUUGAAAGGAGAUGAACCCCACAGGACGCUUCCACAGAGUGAUGCUGGCCAGCCCACCUUGGACCACAGGAAGCUCCCUAAGGAAAAGGUUGGGUGAAUUGCACAGAGAAACAGUUGUCUCAGCAGGGAAGAGCUCUCCUUCAGUUUUCCAUGAUCCAGAGAAUGAGGGUCUGUGUGAGGGACUUUGAGAGAGAAAGAGCCCGUGAGGAGGAAGGCGUUUGCUAUAGUUAAAUGCAGACAAUCUCUGGGAGCCUUUUCUCGCGCGAGAGCAAAGUACCACAUCAGGAAUUCCAGACAUCUGACCUUAUCAGCGGUGCCCCUGCGCUCCUUGCCUGGAGUUGUCUGGACCCUGACAAACACUUCAAAGCCUACCACCCUUGCCUCUCCCGGAGUGAAGGAGGUUGUCUUGGUGUUCCAUCGCUGUGAAGAGACACGGUGGCCACGGCAGUGCUUAUAAAAGAAAGCAUUUAGUUCAGGCCUGCUUACCGUUUCAGAGAGAUUUAGUCCCUUUAUCCCCAUGACAAGGAACAUGGCGGCACGCAGCUAGAGAAGUAGCUAGUGUUCUUCAGCCAGUUCUGAGGGAGCGCGGCAGGAAGAGAAAGACCCUGGCCAGGGUCUAGCUUUUGAAACUUCAAUGACCCAUUCCCAGGGACAUUUCCUUCAAUAAGGCCACACCAACAAGGUCACGCCUCCUAUCUCUUCCCAGCACUGACUGGGAGCCUGGGAGAUAGCUCAGUCAGUACGGCCAUGAAGACAUGAAUAUAAUCCUUAGAACCCAGAAGAAAAUGCCAGGUGCAUGCUUAGAAUCCCACCGCCGGGGAGGAGGAAACAGAAGAUCCCUGGGAUAGCUGACUGGUCAGCCUAGCUUCCUCAGUGAGCCCCAGGCUCAAUGCUUCCUGUGGCAAGCUCCCAGAGGCCCCACCUCAAGGGUGCCUCUUCCUCAUGACCACCUGUGACCUUCAAAAUGACAGCUGCCAAGGAUGCUGAAGAUGGUCAGCCUGGCUCAUCACCAACUCUGGAACUCAGCAGCUGCAUCAAUGUGGAUGGGGAAAAAAAAGUCUCGGUUACAUUGAUCUUUGCCAGUGUCUCCUUCAGCAACAUACAUCGCCACAACCACAUCUCCAGUGGUCUCUGGGAACAACAUCACUAUUUUCAGAUCGGUGACAGUUGUGUCAGGUGGUUGAAAAUGUCAUUAAACCCAUUACUGCUUCAAAAUUACAGUCAUUAUUGAAACCUGCUCCUAGACCUUGUUAUUUAGUCUGUUAAUAAACAAGGAUUCCUAGAACC
ensembl:lincRNA 4930444M15Rik RIKEN cDNA 4930444M15 gene